rnacentral:rRNA from 1 species
GACGAACCGUGCGAACGUUAUUCGGAAUCACUGGGCUUAAAGCGUGUGUAGGCGGAUCGUUAAGUACAUUGUGAAAUCCCACGGCUCAACCGUGGAACUGCUGGGUAUACUGGCGAUCUUGAGCCACCUAGGGGCGAGCGGAACAAGCGGUGGAGCGGUGAAAUGCGUAGAUAUCGCUUGGAACGCCAAUGGUGAAAACAGCUCGCUGGGGGUGUGCUGACGCUGAGACACGAAAGCCAGGGGAGCGAACGGG